ensembl:lncRNA
CAGGACUGCCCUCCUUAGCAGCCUGGGGCCUGUUCCCCUUUCAGCACGCGGGCAGCGAGGGGGAGCUGGUCCCCACCCCGCCGCCCCUAGCACUCUCAGGCAGUGUCUGCACCCUGGACUCCAGCGUGGCCGAGGAGUCGGACCCCGGCGAGGAUGCCGAGUCACCCCCGUUCUGCCUGGCCGAGGAGCCUCUGUCCAUCACCGAGGAGAUCCUGGAGCUGCUCAGCCAGAGGGGGCUGAGUGGGGACCUAGGGACAGAAGAGACGCCAUGGGGACAAGGGGAGCAAUGCCCUGGGAGCCCCACUCCACAGCUGGAGCAGGAUCCGCCUCUGAGCCGAGCCGUGCUGGAAGAACGAGCCGAGGGAAGCGAGUUUCAGGAGGCAGAUGCCACAGGGGGAGACGAGCCCUGCUGUGGCAGCCUCGGCUUGACGCAACCCCUCCCGCCGCGCCAUCCCCCCCAGAGCGAAUUGGAGGAGGAGCAAAAGGAGGAGCGGGGCCCUUCCCCACUUUGUGUCCUAGAAGACCUGGGUGCAGAGGAGGCCACCGGCAAGCCAGAGGUCCUGGCAGGGGAUAACACCCUGCGUGCAGGGCGGGAAGCGUCCAGCGGGGAGCUUGGCUCCACUGAUGGGGCCUGCCCCCCAUACGGGGAUGGGUCAGCGCGGGACUCUCCGCUGACCCGAGACGACCGGCUGCUGAUCGAGAAGAUCAAGUGCUACUACGAGGCGGGCGAGGCUGCCCCAGACGCCCCCACUCGGGAGGGUGCCCUCUCCGCCCCCACCGGGGUGGUGCGGGACUCUGUGCUCCACCUCAACCGUCUCCCCCAGCAGGAGGGGGCCAUGGACUGCGAGCGGGGCAGGGCUUCUUGGGCCAAGGCCCACCCUGCCCGCCAGGAGAAUGCUAGGAGGAGAUGGGGCCAGUUUCUUGACCAAAACACCACGCCUCAUGACGCCAACCAAGAGGAUUCUGGGAAGGGUGAGGGCCCAGCCUUUGAUCAAGACACUCAAUCUGGGGCCAACCAAGAGGCCCAAGAGGAUGCUGGGAAGGGACAGGGCCAGCCAAUCAACCCAGACAUCCAUGGCACCAACCAAGAGGAUGCUGGGAAGGGGCGGGGCCAGCUCAUUAACCAAGGCACCAAAGCUGAUGCCAACCAAGAGGAUGCUGGGAAGGGGCGGGGCCAGCUCAUUGACCAAGGCACCAAAGCUGACGCCAACCAAGAGGAUGCUGAGAAGGGGCGGGGCCAGCCUGCCAGCCAUGUUGCCCUGCCCCCUGCCAGCCAGGAUCCCGAGUACAGGUCGUGCGCGGAGAUCCGGCGGGCGUGGCGGGAGAAAGAGCAGGGGGCGGUGGACGCCCUGGGAGCGCGCACCCCCCGCAUGAAGCUGGGCAGCAAAGGGCCGGCAGCCACCCGUGAGCCCCCACCAUUCCUGGAGCCCCUGUGGAUUGUGGAGGAAUCGGAUCUGGCUGCCCCACCCCGGCUGCCCCGUGGCGACGGGGUCCCUCGGGCCGAUGGUGUCCCGCCCGCCGGCUACGCCCCCCUGCCAGGGCUGUACGAGGACACUGCCCCUUGCCUGCUGGAGAACUCAGAGCGGAUCCUCAGCAAGGUCCAGGCCCUGGCGCGGAUGUACAGCGAGAAGAUCAGCCGGGCCAAGAUGGCCCGGAAACCGCAGGAUGGGCCAUGCCGCCGGGCACCCAGCAGGAUGGGCACCCUGGAAAGCCUGCGGGAGGAGAUGCCAGGGCCCUGCCUCCCUCGCUGCGAACCCCAGCUUUACGGCCAUGUGCUCAUCCGUGAGCCCCCCCUGCACAUGAACUGCGUCCAGGAGAACGUGCUGCUGGUGGCCGCCGCCCGAGGGAAUGCCCUGGAUCUGCGCAGUGACAGGCCUGCACCUCUUCUGGCUUCCCUGUGUUUGGGUUCGCCCCUGGCAGAGGAGCCGGGAGCCGCCCGGCAGGAGCUUCCCCCCCCGGCAGCUGUUCCACCUCCCCCUUCGCUGGUGGAACCGCCCCCGAAGCUCAGCGGGGACCCCCCGAGCCCAGGCGAUCCGGUUGGGGAAGGCCCUGGCUCUCCCCCGCCAGCUCCCGAUGCUACCAGUGGAACUGGCAUGACACCCGAAGCCGGGGACUUUGAGGAAGCCAGGUGCCUGUCGGUGCCGUGCUGCCAAGCCGGGCUGCUGGCCUGCGGGUGCAGGGAUGAGCCGAGCGCCGGGGAGGUUUCCGCAGAGACGGCAG